GACGAACGCUGGCGGCGUGCUUAACACAUGCAAGUCGAACGGAAAGGCCCUGCUUUUGUGGGGUGCUCGAGUGGCGAACGGGUGAGUAACACGUGAGUAACCUGCCCUUGACUUUGGGAUAACUUCAGGAAACUGGGGCUAAUACCGGAUAGGAGCUCCUGCUGCAUGGUGGGGGUUGGAAAGUUUCGGCGGGUGGGGAUGGACUGGCGGCUUAUCAGCUUGUUGGUGGGGUAGUGGCUUACCAAGGCUUUGACGGGUAGCCGGCCUGAGAGGGUGACCGGCCACAUUGGGACUGAGAUACGGCCCAGACUCCUACGGGAGGCAGCAGUGGGGAAUAUUGCACAAUGGGCGGAAGCCGGAUGCAGCAACGCCGCGUGCGGGAUGACGGCCUUCGGGUUGUAAACCGCUUUCGCCUGUGACGAAGCGUGAGUGACGGUAAUGGGUAAAGAAGCACCGGCUAACUACGUG
rnacentral:rRNA from 1 species